AGACGGAGGGGGCUAGCGUUGUUCGGAUUUACUGGGCGUAAAGGGCGUGUAGGCGGGACAUCAAGUUAGGCGUGAAAGCCCCGGGCUCAACCCGGGAACUGCGCUUGAUACUGGUGACCUAGAGUCCGGGAGAGGGUGGUGGAAUUCCCAGUGUAGAGGUGAAAUUCGUAGAUAUUGGGAAGAACACCAGUGGCGAAGGCGGCCACCUGGACCGGUACUGACGCUAAGGCGCGAAAGCGUGGGGAGCAAACAGGAUUAGAAACCCCAGUAGUCC
rnacentral:rRNA from 1 species